GACGAACGCUGGCGGCGUGCCUAAUACAUGCAAGUCGAGCGGGCCUCCGGAGGUGCUUGCACCUCCGGAAGGCCAGCGGCGGACGGGUGAGUAACACGUGGGCAACCUGCCUUUGAGGCCGGGAUAACACCGGGAAACCGGUGCUAAUACCGGAUGCGCCCCCUUUCGCGCCUGCGAGAGGGGAGAAAGACGGUCUUUAAGGCCGUCGCUCAAGGAGGGGCCCGCGGCGCAUUAGCUGAUUGGUGGGGUAAGGGCCUACCAAGGCGACGAUGCGUUGCCGACCUGAGAGGGUGAUCGGCCACACUGGGACUGAGACACGGCCCAGACUCCUGCGGGAGGCAGCAGUAGGGAAUCAUCCGCAAUGGGCGAAAGCCUGACGGUGCAACGCCGCGUGAGUGAGGAAGGUUUUCGGAUCGUAAAGCUCUGUUGUGAGGGAAGAACAGCUUCCGGAGGAAAUGCCGGAGGUUUGCCGGUACCUCACCAGAAAGCCCCGGCUAACUACGUGCCAGCAGCCGCCGUAAGAC
rnacentral:rRNA from 1 species